GACGAACGCUGGCGGCGUGCUUAACACAUGCAAGUCGAACGGAAAGGCCCUGCUUUUGUGGGGUGCUCGAGUGGCGAACGGGUGAGUAACACGUGAGUAACCUGCCCUUGACUUUGGGAUAACUUCAGGAAACUGGGGCUAAUACCGGAUAGGAGCUCCUGCUGCAUGGUGGGGGUUGGAAAGUUUCGGCGGUUGGGGAUGGACUCGCGGCUUAUCAGCUUGUUGGUGGGGUAGUGGCUUACCAAGGCUUUGACGGGUAGCCGGCCUGAGAGGGUGACCGGCCACAUUGGGACUGAGAUACGGCCCAGACUGCUACGGGAGGCAGCAGGGGGGAAUAUUGCACAAUGGGCGGAAGCCUGAUGCAGCAACGCCGCGUGCGGGAUGACGGCCUUCGGGUUGUAAACCGAUUUCGCCUGUGACGAAGGGUGAGUGACGGUAAUGGGUAAAGAAGCACCGGCUAACUACGUG
rnacentral:rRNA from 1 species